rnacentral:misc_RNA from 1 species
GUAGGUGAACCUGCGGAAGGAUCAUUAACACGUAUCCAACGUUAUCAACAAACUCGGUAUCAUAUGUUUUCAACUCUAUCCAUCCUACUGCGACGUCACACUCGCUCUACUUGGACUCGGUCGUCUCUACCCUGGUCACUCACUAAGUUUGAUCGUUAGGGAGGGCUACCUUCAUUCACUUAACCCCAAUAACACUCGUUACAAUAGUUGGUAUGUUUUUUGUUUACACUGCUUUGACGUUUACGCGCACUGUGGUGUUUACACGUUUACUUAUCUGAACGUUAAAAUACAACUCUUAGCAAUGGAUAUCUUGGUUCUC